rnacentral:lncRNA from 1 species
CGCAGCCUGCCCGCCGACCUCGGCUCCCUGAGCCUGGUAAACGGGACCUUCUCCGAAGUCAAGGACAGGAUGUUUUCCCACUUGCCCUCCCUGCAGCUGCUCUUGCUGAACUCUAACUCCUUCACUGUUAUCCGAGAUGAUGCCUUUGCUGGUCUCUUCCAUCUGGAAUACUUGUCACCCUUUUUUCUUUUAAAAAAAGUAUUAGCCCUGGUACCAGGUUGUCCUCACUUCAUACUCCAAAGGACUGCCAUUUCUCUGUGUUACCGGAAAUGAGCUGGAAAAACAAUAUUCAUAAAACUGACUCUUGCUAAAGUCUUGCACGCAGGUAGGUAUUAAGAUGGGGUAUAUUCAUGACUAAUACUCUGUGAGGAGCAGCCAACAAUAGGAUUAACAGACUGAGAACAAGUGGCUUUAUGGUGAAUGCUAUAUGCUGAAAUACGUGAUUCAGCUACAUCUGGAUUUUUCAGUGAUAGCAAGAGUUAUCUAACCAUUCUUUUUUUUCCAUGUUCUACCUGUAAAAACAGUAAUUUGAAAAAGGAAAAAAAUCCUGCAAAUAUUCUUAUGUUGUUUCAGUAUUGACUUACUUAAGCUUUCAGGUGCUCAGGAGCCUAAAAGGGAGCUUGUUUCAGUAGCGUAUGCUCCACUGACAGAUGCAUUGCUAACUGUAGCCAGACCCGUAUCUGAAAGAAAAACAUCCUGCCCCUUGUUAGCUGAUCAUAGGGAAAACUUCUUUCCCUGGUUGCUGGCUGCUAGCUGAGGAUCAAAGUUAAGGCUGAUUAAAACCUACAGUUUCAGUCUCCUUUGGUAACAGCCAAAGAAGUGCUCUCAGGUUUAUGGUUGUUGUUGUUCUCCCUGCCAAAGCCACCAAGUACUUCCUCCUGCCAGCGAAUCUGACCUCUGCCGUUUGGGAACCGAGAGCGAGCAGCCUUCUUUCCUUCUCUCUUUUUUCUUUUUUCCCCCUCCGCAUACAGAGAGUAACACCAUUAGAGCUCCAGUAACUCCUGCCUCGCAGUUACCGCUGGUUGGCUCUUACAGACUAAAAAGAAACGCUGCUGACAAGCAAGAGUAAGACGUUUCUUUGUGCACAAAGCAAAGACUCCAGGCGAAGAGCAGCUGGGCAGCAUCCACAGCAUAUACCCGUACAUCCUGUAGCAGCAGCAGCUGUCCCACUGUCACGCCGCACUUAGGGCAGUGCUAGUGGCCUUCAGGACGCCCUUAAGACUAACUAGUUAUGUUUACGGAGUCGGGACGACGGAGCUCCGACAAAGACUGGAGCU